rnacentral:misc_RNA from 1 species
AUCGAGAAUAAAAAGGAGAAAUCCUUAAAGUCUGAUGACGAAAAAGAAAAGAAGGUCAAGGUUAAGGAAGAUGAAGAUUCAAAAUCUGAAGGAAAGAACAAAAAAGAAAAGAAGAAAGAAGAGAAGCACAAGAAGAAGGAUGAAGCUAAAGAUGAAAAAGAAGCCAAAAAGAAGCACAAAGACAAGGAUGGAGCAGAGGAGGAAACAGAAGUGAACAAGAAGAAGGAUAAGGAAGGCAAGAAGAAAGAGAAAAAAGAUGCAAAGAAAGAUGAGAAACAUAAAGACGGGAAAUCUGAGGAGAAUGAUGGAGUGAAAGAAAAGAAAGGAAAGAAGAAAGAAGUUGAGGAUGAUGAAGAUUAUGAAAAAGAAGAGAAGAAACAGGAGAAAGUUAAGAAAGAUAAGGAGAAGGGCAAAGGUGAUGAUGUAGUGGAAGAGAAGAAAGUGAAGAAGGAAGUUGAGAAUGAAGAAGAGAAAGAAGAUGAUAGUAAAGAAGAGAAGAAAAAGAAGAAAGAAGAGAAGGCAGAGAAGGAAAAGAAGAAAAAGGACAAAGGUGAAGAAGAAGAUGAUGGUAAAGAAGAGAAGAAGAAGAAGAAAGGAGAGAAGGAAAAGGAGAAGAAG